AUACGUAGGUGGCGAGCGUUGUCCGGAAUUACUGGGCGUGAAGGAUGCGUAGGCGGAUACUUAAGUGGGAUGUGAAAUCCCCGGGCUCAACCCGGGAACUGCAUUCCAAACUGGGUAUCUAGAGUGCAGGAGAGGAAAGCGGAAUUCCUAGUGUAGCGGUGAAAUGCGUAGAUAUUAGGAGGAACACCAGUGGCGAAGGCGGCUUUCUGGACUAUAACUGACACUGAGGCAUGAAAGCGUGGGUAACAAACAGGAUUAGAUACCCUGGUGGUCCACGCUGUAAACAGUGGAUGCGAGGGGUAGGAGGUAUCGGACCCUUCUGUGCCGUCAUUAAAACAAUAAGUACCCCGCCUGGGGAGUACGGUCGAAAGAGUAAAACGCAAAGGAAUUGACGGG
rnacentral:rRNA from 1 species